GAACUGGAACUAAUUUGAGAACAUUUGGCUAUCUGAGACCUAUAUCUGGAGUUGUCCAUACCCACACUAUGGCUUGGGAGGCGAUUGAAUUAGGGUGCAAUUUGAAGUACGACCCGAUUCAAAGAAUGCUGGCAGUGAAACAUGAAGGCAGUUAUUUUGUUCACCUGACACUCCAGUUUAGGGCCACAGCGUUAGACACUGUCAGAGCAGGG